rnacentral:rRNA from 1 species
UUAAUUGAAGAGUUUGAUCAUGGCUCAGAUUGAACGCUGGCGGCAGGCCUAACACAUGCAAGUCGAGCGGCAGCACAGAGGAACUUGUUCCUUGGGUGGCGAGCGGCGGACGGGUGAGUAAUGCCUGGGAAAUUGCCCGGUAGAGGGGGGAUAACCAUUGGAAACGAUGGCUAAUACCGCAUAACCUCGCAAGAGCAAAGCAGGGGACCUUCGGGCCUUGCGCUACCGGAUAUGCCCAGGUGGGAUUAGCUAGUUGGUGAGGUAAGGGCUCACCAAGGCGACGAUCCCUAGCUGGUCUGAGAGGAUGA